UACGUAGGGUGCAAGCGUUAAUCGGAAUUACUGGGCGUAAAGCGUGCGCAGGCGGUUAUAUAAGACAGUUGUGAAAUCCCCGGGCUCAACCUGGGAACUGCAUCUGUGACUGUAUAGCUAGAGUACGGUAGAGGGGGAUGGAAUUCCGCGUGUAGCAGUGAAAUGCGUAGAUAUCAAGAGGAACACCAGUGGCGAAGGCGAGUCCCUGGACAACUUCUGACGCUGAGGCACGAAAGCUAGGGGAGCAAACAGG
rnacentral:rRNA from 1 species